rnacentral:rRNA from 1 species
GUGUCAGCCGCCGCGGUAAUACGGAGGGGGCGAGCGUUAUUCGGAAUUAUUGGGCGUAAAGGGCAGGUAGGCGGCCUCAUAUGUCCUUUGUGAAAGCCCUCGGCUCAACCGAGGAACUGCAGGGGAAACUGUGGGGCUUGAGUCCGGGAGAGGGUAGCGGAAUUCCCAGUGUAGCGGUGAAAUGCGUAGAUAUUGGGAGGAACACCAGUGGCGAAGGCGGCUACCUGGACCGGAACUGACGCUAAGCUGCGAAAGCUAGGGGAGCAAACGGGAUUAGAAACCCCUGUAGUCC